AUGGGAACUGUUGUUACAUAUACAGCGAACUUUGCGAUCUCCAAUACACCCUUCGAAGUUCCCAACGAUGACAUUUUCUACUUCUAUAGAUAGAAGUAAAACAAAAGAGACAACGAUGCCGAGAUUGUAAGAUAGCUUACGAGGCAAAGAUUUUUUGGGCGUAAAACCUAGGAUUAAGAGAAUGUAAAGUGGAAAAGACUACAUUGAAAAGAGAAAAAGAAAAUGGUACUGGACAAGAACACAUACCCUAGAUUUCCAAAUCCAUGUGGAGAAGACUCUGUACGCAGCUCCCAAUCUAUUUCCAAACCAUAGAUUCCUAAUUAGAUACAAACAAAGGUUAAAACGAAGGUUCGUGAUUUUGUUCUGGGAUGUAAAGCCAGUAGAUGAAAUAGGAUCCCAAGAUCUGAGAUUUGGAGAUGAGAAAAAUGGGAGAAUCAGACAACGUAGAAUAUCUGACAUUUGGGUGAAAAAUGGAUUUUGCACCUGAACAAAUCAUUCAAAAGCUAAUUUAAAAUUGAAAGAC
rnacentral:lncRNA from 1 species